UUACUUACUUGGACAGGGUCGAUGAGCGAUCAACAUCCCAUGGCCUAGGUUGAUGAUUUCUAUUGCACUUUGGAAGGGUGUUAACCUAAGGUUUACCUUAAAGGUGGAGCCUACGUCACAACUUGUGGAAGUGGGGUCUUGCGUUUGCGCGGCCCCUAU
rnacentral:snRNA from 1 species